rnacentral:tRNA from 1 species
GCGGGUAUAGCUCAGCAGUAGAGUGCUUGCCUAGUAUGCAUGAGGUCCUGGGUUCAAUCCCCAGCACCCUCC